UACGUAGGGUGCGAGCGUUGUCCGGAAUUAUUGGGCGUAAAGAGCUUGUAGGCGGUUUGUCGCGUCUGCUGUGAAAAUCCGGGGCUCAACCCCGGACUUGCAGUGGGUACGGGCAGACUAGAGUGUGGUAGGGGGAGACUGGAAUUCCUGGUGUAGCGGUGAAAUGCGCAGAUAUCAGGAGGAACACCGAUGGCGAAGGCAGGUCUCUGGGCUGUAACUGACGCUGAGGAGCGAAAGCAUGGGGAGCGAACAGG
rnacentral:rRNA from 1 species